rnacentral:lncRNA from 1 species
GUCUGAGAGGCUGGGAGGAUAGUCUAGUGGGACUAGGAGAUUCAGUCUGAGAGGCUGGAAGGAUAGUCUAGUGGGACUAGGAGAUUCAGUCUGGGAGGACUGGAAGGGCAGUCUAGUGGGACUAGGAGAUUCAGUCUGAGAGGCUGGAAGGAUAGUCUAGUGGGACUAGGAGAUUCAGUCUGGGAGGACUGGAAGGGCAGUCUAGUGGGACUAGGAGAUUUAGUCUGGGAGGCUGGAAGGAUAGUCUAGUGGGACUAGAAGAUUCAGUCUGAGAGGCUGGAAGGAUAGUCUAGUGGGACUAGAAGAUUCAGUCUGAGAGGCUGGGAGGAUAGUCUAGUGGGACUAGGAGAUUCAGUCUGGGAGGACUGGAAGGGCAGUCUAGUGGGACUAGGAGAUUCAGUCUGGGAGGCUGGAAGGAUAGUCUAGUGGGACUAGAAGAUUCAGUCUGAGAGGCUGGAAGGAUAGUCUAGUGGGACUAGAAGAUUCAGUCUGAGAGGCUGGGAGGAUAGUCUAGUGGGACUAGGAGAUUCAGUCUGAGAGGCUGGAAGGAUAGUCUAGUGGGACUAGAGGAUUCAGUCUGAGAGGCUGGGAGGAUAGACUAGUGGGACUAGGG